rnacentral:rRNA from 1 species
ACAGGUGACGGAGGAUGAGGGUUUGACUCCGGAGAGGGAGCCUGAGAGAUGGCUACCACAUCUAAGGAAGGCAGCAGGCGCGCAAAUUGCCCAAUCCCAACAGAGGGAGGUAGUGACAAGAAAUAGCAAUACAAGGCAUCCAUGUUUUGUACUUGGAAUGAAUGGCCAGCAAACUUUGUUUUUAGGAUCAAUUGGAGGGCAAGUCUGGUGCCAGCAGCCGCGGUAAUUCCAGCUCCAAUGGUGUAUAUUAGAGUUGUUGCGGUUAAAAGGCUCGUAGUUGGAUCUCUGCUGGGGACGUCUGGUCCGCCCUUUGGGUGAGCAUCUGGUGCAAUCCAAGCCCUUUUUCCCAGAGGGGCGUCUGCACUUGACUGUGUGGUGCACUUCUGGGAGCAUUUACUUUGAGGAAGUAAGGGUGUUCAAAGCAGGUGUUUCGCCUUGGAUGCAGAAGCAUGGAAUAUUGUUUUGAGUCUUGGCCUCAUUUUGUUGGUUUCUGAAGCGAAGGUAGUGUUCAAAGGGGAUGGUUGGGGGCAUUCAUAUUCGACUGUCAGAGGUGAAAUUCUUGAAUUUGUCAAGGAUGGACCAGUGCGAAGGCAUUUGCCAAGGAUGUCUUCAUUGAUCAAGAACGAAAGUUAGGGGAUCGAAGACGAUUAGAUACCGUCAUAGUCUUAACCAUAAACAAUGCCAACUAGAGAUUGGGGGUCGUUACCUGUAGGAUUCUGUCAGCACCUUGCAAGAAAUUUAAGUCUUUGGGUUCCGGGGGGAGUAUGGUCGCAAGGCUGAAACUUAAAGGAAUUGACGGAAGGGCACCACCAGGAGUGGAGCCUGCGGCUUAAUUUGACUCAACACGGGGAAACUUACCAGGUCCUGGCACAAGUGGGAUUGACAGAUUGACAGCUUUUUCUUGAUUCUGUGGGUGGUGGUGCAUGGCCGUUCUUAGUUGGUGGAGUGAUUUGUCUGGUUAAUUCCGUUAACGAACGAGACCUUGACCUGCUAAAUAGUAACACGUAAUUGCGAGUAUGUGGACAACUUCUUAGAGGGACUUUGUGUGUCUAGCACAAGGAAGUGUGAGGCAAUAACAGGUCUGUGAUGCCCUUUGAUGUUCUGGGCUGCACGCGUGCUACACUGAUGCACCCACUGAGCACCUCAUCUUGCCUGAAGUGGCUGGGCAAUCUUUGGAAUGUGCACCGUGAUGGGGAUGGAUCAUUGCAAUUAUUGCUUCUUAACGAGGAAUUCCUAGUAAAUGUGAGUCAUCAACUUGCACUGAUUACGUCCCUGCCCUUUGUACACACCGCCCGUCGCUCCUACCGAUUGAGUGGU